AUGGUGAUGGGAUAUUCCCCCGCUGAGUCUGUGGCCAUUGCCAAUAGACUUAAUUGCUGCCUGGGCUCAUUCCCCACUACCUACCUUGGGACGCCCAUCAGUGACUCGCGCCUCUCUGCCGCCGACCUUCGCCCCUCCGUGACCAAGCUCUAGACCAGGUGCGAGCCCUGGCAGGGGAGGUGGCUUUCCAAGGCGGCCCGGACUAUCCUUAUCAACUCCUCCCUCUCCAGCCUCCUCUUAUUUCUUAUGAGUUUCUACAGCCUCCAUGAAUCUCUCCAUAAGGAGAUCGCCAAAAUCCAGUCCCGAUUCUACUGGGCUGGCGAGCAUGGCAAG
rnacentral:rRNA from 1 species